rnacentral:rRNA from 1 species
AUUGAACGCUGGCGGCAUGCCUUACACAUGCAAGUCGAACGGUAACAGGUCUUCGGAUGCUGACGAGUGGCGAACGGGUGAGUAAUACAUCGGAACGUGCCUAGUAGUGGGGGAUAACUACUCGAAAGAGUGGCUAAUACCGCAUGAGAUCUACGGAUGAAAGCAGGGGAUCGCAAGACCUUGUGCUACUAGAGCGGCCGAUGGCAGAUUAGGUAGUUGGUGGGAUAAAAGCUUACCAAGCCGACGAUCUGUAGUUGGUCUGAGAGGACGAUCAGCCACACUGGGACUGAGACACGGCCCAGACUCCUACGGGAGGCAGCAGUGGGGAAUUUUGGACAAUGGGCGCAAGCCUGAUCCAGCAAUGCCGCGUGCAGGAUGAAGGCCCUCGGGUUGUAAACUGCUUUUGUACGGAACGAAAAGCCCUGGGUUAAUACCCUGGGGUCAUGACGGUACCGUAAGAAUAAGCACCGGCUAACUACGUGCCAGCCGCCGCCGUAA